rnacentral:rRNA from 1 species
CCUACGGGCGGCAGCAGUGAGGAAUAUUGGUCAAUGGCCGUAAGACUGAACCAGCCAAGUCGCGUGAGGGAGGAAGGAACUGUGGUUUGUAAACUUCUUUUGUCGGGGAAUAAAGGUAUCCACGUGUGGAUGGUUGCAUGUACCCUAUGAAUAAGCAUCGGCUAACUCCGUGCCAGCAGCCGCGGUAAUACGGGGGAUGCGAGCGUUAUCCGGAUUUAUUGGGUUUAAAGGGUGCGUAGGCGGUGAGGUAAGUCAGCGGUGAAAUGCCCCCGCUCAACGGGGUGAAGUGCCAUUGAUACUGGCUUGCUGGAAUGCGGAUGCGGUGGGAGGAAUGUGUGGUGUAGCGGUGAAAUGCAUAGAUAUCACACAGAACACCGAUUGCGAAGGCAUCUUACGAACCCGCGAUUGACGCUGAUGCACGAAAGCGUGGGUAUCAAACAGGAUUAGAUACCCUGGUAGUC